CCCGCUGAACUUAAGCAUAUCAAUAAGCGGAGGAAAAGAAACUAACAAGGAUUCCCCUAGUAACUUGCGAGUGAAGCGGGAAAAGCUCAAAUUUAAAAUCUGGUGGUCUUUUGGCCAUCCGAGUUGUAAUUUAGAGAAGCGUCUUCCGCGCUGGACCAUGCAUAAGUCUCCUGGAAUGGAGCGUCAUAGAGGGUGAGAAUCCCGUCUUUGGCAUGGACCCCCAGGGCUUCUGUGAUGCGCUCUCAAAGAGUCGAGUUGUUUGGGAAUGCAGCUCAAAAUGGGUGGUGAACUCCAUCUAAAGCUAAAUAUUGGCGAGAGACCGAUAGCGAACAAGUACCGUGAGGGAAAGAUGAAAAGCACUUUGGAAAGAGAGUGAAACAGUACGUGAAAUUGUUGAAAGGGAAACGCUUGAAGUCAGUCGCGUCGACCGAGACUCAGCCUUGCCUUGGCUUGGUGUACUUCUCGGCUGACGGGUCAGCAUCAAUUUCGAUCCUUGGAUAAUGGCAAGGGAAAGGUAGCACCUUUAUAGGUGUGUUAUAGUCCUCUGUCGGAUGCAAGGGUUGGGAUUGAGGAACUCAGCAUGCACCUUGUCGGUGUCGGGGCCUUGGCCCACGUUUACAUGCUUAGGAUGCUGGCAUAAUGGCUUUAAACGACCCGUCUUGAAACACGG
rnacentral:rRNA from 1 species